AAAGUUCUCGCUCGGCUCCGUCGUCACUUUCUUUUGCAAACAAAAAGAGAGUCAGUAUUGGAAACACUGUGAGAGUGAAAGGAUGUACCUUCACAGAGUUGUGCUCUUUUAUCAGUGAAAACAUAGCCGUUUAGAAAGGAGGAGAUCUAAGCCACGGUUUGGAAGGAGUCUUAUUUUAAAAAGACAGCGGUCUGAGCCACCACACAGCGAACGAGUAAACCAGGUGCAAACAUUAACUAAACAAGCAAACAUCUCUAAUUUGAACAUAAAUAGGACGAGUGAUUCUCAGGCUCAACAGGACAUACGUAGGUGCAAAUGGAUCAAGACGAAUUGAAGUUUGCUGUAACCAAGGAUAAUUCGAGUCAAAUCAUAUGACUCCAGAAUGACUACUGAUUCUUUAGGGCUUCAUUGUUGCAAGGAAGCUGUCGGUGGUUCCUCUCUCUCAAGACAAAAGUUCGCCAGGCCUCCUUCAGAGUUAUCUAAGACUGAGUGACGGAGUUAGAUGCAGCCAUGACUAACGACUCGGAGGAAAUCAGAUGAAUUGACCAAAUCUGGACUAUAACCUUCAGAGAGGCCAGGGAUGCUGACGCAUCCUUCAUUUCACGUUCCUGG